UCUUGUUCUGGUGAAUCAUUUUCUGA
rnacentral:piRNA from 1 species